UACGAAGGGGGCUAGCGUUGUUCGGAUUUACUGGGCGUAAAGCGCACGUAGGCGGAUCGAUCAGUCAGGGGUGAAAUCCCAGAGCUCAACUCUGGAACUGCCUUUGAUACUGUCGAUCUGGAGUAUGGAAGAGGUGAGUGGAAUUCCGAGUGUAGAGGUGAAAUUCGUAGAUAUUCGGAGGAACACCAGUGGCGAAGGCGGCCCACUGGUCCAUUACUGACGCUGAGGUGCGAAAGCGUGGGGAGCAAACAGG
rnacentral:rRNA from 1 species